CUCCACUUCAGUCCACUCUCCAAACUGCCACGGUUAUCUUUAUGUAACUUGAUUGUUCGCCUUGACUAAAAGGCAUUCAUGGUUUCUUAUUGUUUGAAGCAUGGCAUUUGAAUUGCAUCCUGCCCAACCCGUCGCUUUAAUCACGUUUGCUCGGUGUUCUUGCCCUUCUGAUUCAAGGUCUCCCGUUUCCCAGAGAGAUCUCAAGGCUUUGCUGUGUUCGGAACGCUUGUCCUGCCUUUCUGCCUCAGUGACCUCCUUCUUGUCCUAUGGACCCAGGGUAUGACAUGUCCAAACUGAUCUUGGUGGACUGGAUGAAACGGGCAGGGGGCUCGAUUUACUGAAGAGUCAGAGGUUGGUGUCCGAGCUUGAGGUCGGCCUUCCGUAUCCUGGAACAGUGAGUGCUGCAUGUGUUUGGUUGAUAAUCCUUUGGUGGUUGGCUCGCUGGUGCAGAAGCAGAAACUGAUGACCCUGAAGCCGUGUGACAGCAGAAGAAUGCCUGGGGAAGGCGGCCAUUACUCUGGUUCCUGAGAAAUGCCAUCAGGAGGAUUCUCACUUAGGUCACAGAGCUCCAAAGACACAGCUCCCCAGGCCUGCAGGUUUCAUACCAGCUGCCAGUGAAUUCUCUAAUCCGUGUCAACAGAGAAAGCACUGCACAGCCCUGGAGUCUCUCGUGUUGAUCCUGGUGUCUGUGAGAUCAGAUUCCGGGAUGAUGGGAUUUUAAACGUCUCUGAGUCUUAGACAGAGUCAGCUAAGGACAGAACAAGCAGGUGUUCUUAUAUGACCUUGGUUUUGAGAUCUGUCUCUUUGGGUUUCAGUCAUUCAGUAAAAAUUCAGAUCCUUUUAUGUGUCGUGGUUGUAAACUGUGUUUAUUGCUUGUUAGACUGUGUAAAAGGCCUAAUAAGAUACACUAAAAAAAUAAGGCUGUUGGCCUAUUAGGAAAAAAAAGGACUCAAUUUUCAUUUUUUUGGUUAACUGUAGAAAUACAAGAGUUUAUGGAACAUUAUAGCUCCAAACCCAGGGCCUGGGCUGCAGUUUUGUUUUGCUUGCUGGGUUUCUAAAAAAUUAAUUAGCUCUUUUUAAAAUUAUAGUUUAUGUACAGUAUUAUGUAAGUUAACAGGAGUACAAUAUGUGAUUCACAAUUUUUAAAGGUUAUACUCCAUUUAUAGUUAUUAUAAAAUAUUGGUUAUAUUCUCCAUGUUGUACAUAUGUCCUUGUAGCUUAUUUUGUACCUAAUGGUUUGUACGCCUUAAUCCCUUACUCCUACAUUGCCCCCCCAAUUGCCUGUCUCAUAUUUCUCUCUUUUUUAAAAAAAUUAUUUGGCCUUACUUGCAGCAUGGGCUUCUCUCUAGUUGUGGCUGCAGGCUUAGUUGCCUUGUGGCGUAUGGGAUCUUAGUUCCCCAACCAGGGUUCAAACCCACAUCCCCUGCAUUGGAAAACAGAUUCUUAAACACUGGACCACAAGGGAUGUCCCCACCCCACCCCACACCUCUUUUUUAGUUGCAAAAGAAAUACGUGCAUAUUGCCUUAGCCUAGGAAACAAGAGCUUAAAGAAAAGUUUAAGUGCCUCUGGUUCGUUGGGAGGUAUAAUGCCAAGGUGGCCGGAAUGAGGGAAUCGGAUUGUGGAGCCUGGGAGGAAUGGGGAGCAGAUAUAAGGCGGUCUGUUAUGACUGAUAGACACAGAAGGUGGCUACUGCUUCACAGACGAGUCUAGCCAGUUUCUCUGCCCCAAGUGGUAGCUCUGGAUGAGAUGUGCAGAAACAUCACACCCUGGAGCAGUUCCUUGGGGGAUGAAUGAGGAAUAAAUGUAUUUGUUGACUCUUUCCCUUUUCCUGU
ensembl:lncRNA